ACUAGGCUUUAGCUCGGCAGGCUAACAGAGACACGCAGGACAUCCAGGGUUUCUCGUCAGUCAUAAAGUCCAUAAAGGAUAUUGUUGGAAUGAUUAAGCAGGGACCUUCGUGUGGGUGUGUGUGUGUGUGUGUGAGUAAAACUGCACACUUUAUUGCUUUGAGGGACAAAGUCCCAAAACCCCGUUUUAUCAGAAAACAUUCAUAGUGAAAGUUAGAAAAGAACAAGCCACGGAAAAGCAAGAGCAAGUGACACAAUUCUGUCGGAUAAAAUUAGGAGGCUUCUCUCAGUUGUAUGUCAGUAACAUCAAUGAAGAGUGACCGUUCAAUGGAUUCCCCUCGUUAUUUCAAAGAGAGAGAAAAGGUCUCUCAGCCAAAAGCAGAACCAGAAGAACCAUGUGACAUCUGCUCUGAGCGCAGAGCCAUGAAGCUUUGUCUGACCUGCUCUGUCUACUACUGUGAGAAACACAUGAGGAAGCACUUCAUAAUACAAGCACUGAGGAGACACGUCAUGGUGGAUGUCACUGAAGAAGUCGUACUACAGAGAAACACCUCGGAGAAGAAGAGAGAGGAGCAGGAGGAAGAGGGAAGGAGACAGGGACAGGAGGAGGGGCUGAGGUGGCAGACGAGGAAGGAGGACUUUAGGGAAGAGGAGAGGGGGCACCAGGAGGCUGUGGAACAACAGUGCAGAGAGAAGGAGAGGAAGAGAGAGGAGAAGGAGGAAGAGGGAAGGAGACAGGGACAGGAGGAGGGGCUGAGGUGGCAGACGAGGAAGGAGGACUUUAGGGAAGAGGAGAGGGGGCACCAGGAGGCUGUGGAACAACAGUGCAGAGAGAAGGAGAGAGAGAGAGAGGGAAGGAGGAAGAGAGAGGGG
ensembl:lncRNA